rnacentral:rRNA from 1 species
GACGAACGCUGGCGGCGUGCUUAACACAUGCAAGUCGAGCGGAAAGGCCCUUCGGGGUACUCGAGCGGCGAACGGGUGAGUAACACGUGAGUAAUCUGCCCUUGGCUUUGGGAUAACUACCGGAAACGGUGGCUAAUACCGGAUACGACAACCGUCUGCAUGGGCUGGUUGUGGAAAGUUUUUUCGGCCAGGGAUGUGCUCGCGGCCUAUCAGCUUGUUGGUGGGGUAAUGGCCUGCCAAGGCUUCGACGGGUAGCCGGCCUGAGAGGGUGACCGGCCACACUGGGACUGAGACACGGCCCAGACUCCUACGGGAGGCAGCAGUGGGGAAUAUUGGACAAUGGGCGGAAGCCUGAUCCAGCAACGCCGCGUGAGGGAUGACGGCCUUCGGGUUGUAAACCUCUUUCAGUACCGACGAAGCGCCGAUGAUGGUGGUGACGGUAGGUACAGAAGAAGCACCGGCCAACUACGUG